CUUUCGAUAGCUCAGUUGGUAGAGCGGGGAAUUUCAUUUUAUAAUAGACUGAUCCCUAGGUUGCUGGUUCGAAUCCGGCUCGAAGAA
rnacentral:tRNA from 1 species